GACGAACGCUGGCGGCGUGCUUAACACAUGCAAGUCGAACGGUAAGGCCCUUCGGGGUACACGAGUGGCGAACGGGUGAGUAACACGUGGGUGAUCUGCCCUGCACUUCGGGAUAAGCCUGGGAAACUGGGUCUAAUACCGGAUAGGACCACUGCCUGCAUGGGUAGUGGUGGAAAGCUUUUGCGGUGUGGGAUGGGCCCGCGGCCUAUCAGCUUGUUGGGGGGGUGAUGGCCUACCAAGGCGACGACGGGUAGCCGGCCUGAGAGGGUGACCGGCCACACUGGGACUGAGAUACGGCCCAGACUCCUACGGGAGGCAGCAGUGGGGAAUAUUGCACAAUGGGCGCAAGCCUGAUGCAGCGACGCCGCGUGAGGGAUGACGGCCUUCGGGUUGUAACCUCUUUCAGCACCGACGAAGCGCAAGUGACGGUAGGUGCAGAAGAAGGACCGGCCAACUACGUGCCAGCCGCCGCCGUAA
rnacentral:rRNA from 1 species